CAGCAACAGACUGAUGUUGGUCACCACAGCCCACAGGAUUCAUCAAGACUGUGGACAAAUGAAGCAAAAGUCAGUGAGUUCAAAGGGUGUGGGGUGGUGCCAGGGAAAAAAACAGCACCAAAACAAUGUGAACAUGUCCACAACAUAUGCAAAAAAAAUUUCCCCCUCCGAGAGAAGGCAUGUCAACAUUAACCAAAAAAAAGUAACUUGAAGGUAUGUAAUUAGCUAUGGGGUUUUCCUCCCACCACCACUAUGGAGCAUGAGGCUAGGCUGACCACUGGUUUAGCUGUGCCAUGAAAGAUCAGGCAUUAGUCAGAUAUGGGAAGGGCAGGAUUGUGACUGGAAUGGAAUAGUGGUGAAAUUAUAUCCAUACCAUUCCUUGGGCAGGAUAAGGGAAUUCUCUUAUAACCCUGGAAUGCCACAACCACCUAAUAUGCAGAUUUAACCCAUAGAUAAGCAUUCCAAGACCAAGAAUACCAAAAACCCCUUUCUGAGUAUGGGCAGAUGCAGAAGUGGCAAACACCAGUGACAAUUCCAAAGACUUCCAUCUCAUUGACACACAUAGGAAGGAGGCAAAGGGAAGGAGAGAAAGAAGAAUGGAAACAUGCUGAACACAGGACCUCAUUAGCUAACUUGGGUCUGGCUGAUUCUGCAGCACGCCUGUGUGUGGCAGGAGGGGAAGUCUCCUAUGACUAAAUA